GGUUUCAACAACCCCGCGGAUCGGGCACCUUCUGGUGCAGUGGAUCCGCUGGAGCC
rnacentral:sRNA from 1 species